AAUAUGCUGAACCCUUGAUAUGAUAUUUUGCAGUGGAGCGCACUAUUGGAUGCGGCCACUGUGGAAGGAGCAAAUUAAGGUAAAGAUGAUAGUGGCGGAAGACAAACGCUAUCCGAGAUUGUUGAGCAGAUGAGGAAGGAGCUUUAGCUCAGUGAGAAGGGAAUGGUUUAUGUAAAAGGCAUAUUCGAGAGAUGACCAACACCCCAACACUUCUGAUGGGGUGUUGGUCAUCCAACACUCGAAGCAAUACUUACUGCAGGGGCAUGCUAUUACUGGGAAGCUUAAUUCUGAUGGUAAGGUGGAUAUAAUGCAGACUCUACACAACCUAAAUGAAGGUAUUGAAUUUUCUUGUUUGUUAAAUGCCGGAUUCCCAAAAAUGGUUCAUUCAUAUAGCUCAUGACUAUCUAGAUGAGCUGCCUCAAUUUGAACAAGCCUGGAAGAAAAAUGCUAGAAAGCAUUUGCUUGGUUGGAGUGAGCAUUUUGAUGGCCAUGUUGGACGGGCCACAGUCAAGCAUCGCCUUUGUUGGACAAGGGUCAUGAAGAGAGGGCAAAAAGAUGUGAAUUUGUGUCUGAGCUAUUAUGAUCCACCGUCAUCGACGAUAAUUUAUGAGUAGGUGAAGAAUGGCGGGUGAUCUAGAGCUUACGUGAUUGAGAAUCCAGCCCUACAAUCUUUAUGGUUGGCUUGGGGGGAAUGUGUUGUUUGCUAAUGUAUUAAAAUAGGAAGCAAGGGAAUAAGGUUUAUAAGCUAAAAUGUAAUUCUUUGCUUGUCGACUUCGGUUUUGACAUGAGGAAACAAUGCUGUGCAUAGCUCCUGUGUGAUGCUUGGACCUCUCAAAAGUAACGAUAUUGAAGAACUUUUCUUUACGUCUAUGUACCAUGUAUUAUUCAUAAACGUAUCAAAGCAUUGUCAAAAAAGCAAGGAAUAU